rnacentral:rRNA from 1 species
GAGUUUGAUCAUGGCUCAGAACGAACGCUGGCGGCAGGCUUAACACAUGCAAGUCGAACGCGUGUAGCAAUACACGAGUGGCGCACGGGUGAGUAACACGUGGAUAUCUGCCUUUUGGUUCGGGAUAACCCUGGGAAACUAGGGCUAAUACCGAAUGGUUCCUACGGGAUAAAGAUUUAUCGCCAAAAAGAUGAGUCCGCGUCCGAUUAGCUAGUUGGUGAGGUAAUGGCUCACCAAGGCGACGAUCGGUAGCUGGUCUGAGAGGACGAUCAGCCACACUGGGACUGAGACACGGCCCAGACUCCUACGGGAGGCAGCAGUGGGGAAUAUUGGACAAUGGGGGCAACCCUGAUCCAGCCAUGCCGCGUGAGUGAUGAAGGCCUUCGGGUU